rnacentral:rRNA from 1 species
UGGGGAAUAUUGCACAAUGGGCGCAAGCCUGAUGCAGCCAUGCCGCGUGUGUGAAGAAGGCCUUCGGGUUGUAAAGCACUUUCAGCGAGGAGGAAGGUGGUGAACUUAAUACGUUCAUCAAUUGACGUUACUCGCAGAAGAAGCACCGGCUAACUCCGUGCCAGCAGCCGCGGUAAUACGGAGGGUGCAAGCGUUAAUCGGAAUUACUGGGCGUAAAGCGCACGCAGGCGGUUUGUUAAGUCAGAUGUGAAAUCCCCGGGCUCAACCUGGGAACUGCAUUUGAAACUGGCAAGCUAGAGUCUCGUAGAGGGGGGUAGAAUUCCAGGUGUAGCGGUGAAAUGCGUAGAGAUCUGGAGGAAUACCGGUGGCGAAGGCGGCCCCCUGGACGAAGACUGACGCUCAGGUGCGAAAGCGUGGGGAGCAAACAGAUUAGAUACCCUGGUAGUCCACGCUGUAAACGAUGUCGAUUUUGGAGGUUGUGCCCUUGAGGCGUGGCUUCCGGAGCUAACGCGUUAAAUCGACCGCCUGGGGAGUACGGCCGCAAGGUU